rnacentral:lncRNA from 1 species
GGGGGAGGGCGUGGGUGCGGGGGGGGGGGGACCUCCCCUCCCAGCAUCUCAAGACCACCUCGGGAGGCUCGGCACCUUCGGGACCCUCAAACAGCCAUCAGAUGAAGGUGCUGGGGAUGGAACCCAGAACCCUGAACAUGCUAGACAAGCGCUCACCACUGUUAUGCACUCUUGGGGCCUGACCUCACUGCUUUUCAGGGUGCAGCUCGGCACAGUGGAGCACUUUCACCUGACUGUGCCGCCAUCCCCACCGUCCACUCCAGAGCUUUCUCACCUCCUGAACUGAACCUCAGUCCCAGGAGAUCUGACCCCUCUCCAGCCCACAGGACCACGACCCAUCGCUGAGGUUCUCCGGAGGGCGCCACCCCAGCAAGGCAGAUGAGAGUAAGGACCCAGAAGCCAUGGAGAUGUCUGUCCCCGAACAGGGACUGGCUGAGUAGGUUUCGAUAUCUCCAUACACAGAAUAUUGAAGCGGAGGCCAGGGCCAGAAAGGCUCUUGCUGAGUGGAUGUGGAAAAAUCCCCACAGUUUGUUGCUAAGCAGGAAAGCCAAGCACAGACCUAGGAGAGAACAUGCAGCCAGCUGUGUAGAGGGGGGGAAGGUGGAGGGGGAAGGUGGGUGUCCUUUCCUAGCCCAAAAUGUACCAGCCUGGGAUCGGGGCAUCUGAAGGUCCCCCCAGGGCAUCUCCCUGGGCAGGGGGAGUUGCACACUCUAGAAUUCCAUCUGGUGUGUGUUAUGCAACACAGAUUCCCUAUCAGAUACUGUACGUGGCAUUCUGUCUUGUAUAUUAGAUGCUAUAUACAUGGCAACCUAUGCACACAUGGGAUAUAUUCUUUAUGUCACACAAUAGGUCAAGCAUAUGUAUAGUGCAUCAUGUACAGUGUUCUAGAUACUAUAUUAUAUACCAUUAUAUAUGGAAUUCAUGUAUAGGGCAAACCCCAAAUGCUACACAUAUAUAAAACAUUAUAGAUCAUGUUUUCUAUAGUAUUCUAUGUGGUACAUUAUAUACCAAUAUUAUAGCAUUCUAUAUAGUACAUGGUAUACUAUUAUAUGUCAUAUUCUAAAUGUGUAUAUAGAAUGUAUUCUGUAUAUUUUGCUGUGAUUUAGACCUAAAACACCCCCAAAGCCUCAUGUGCCUAGAGGUGGGGCAUUUGCAAGGUGGUUGGGUCACAGGGCACUGUACCCCUCAGUACGUUGAUCCAGUGAUGAUUUGGGGCUGGCUGUGGUGUCGGGAGUCAGGGCUUGGUUGGAGGGGGUCACUUGCAGUGUCACCCACCUCUUCCCUGUUCCUUCUGUCUGCUUCCUGGCUCCGUGGGUCAAGCAGCUCUGCUCUACCAUACUUUCCACCAUGGUGCUUCUGCCUUGGUGCCAGCCCACCAUGGACUGGGACUUCCAAAACCAUGAGCCUCUCCGGAUCAGCCUCUCCUCCUCUGAGCUGUGAGAGUCAGGUGUUGUGUGCCAGUGAUGGGGAAUGGUUAACAUGUGUUUUAUAAAAAUAUAGCACAGGGUGUAUGUACGAUGUCAUUAUAUAUAGUACACCAUAUACUGUAGUAUAUGGAAUUCUGUAUAUAGAAAUAGCGUCCAUAUAUUUUAUAUAACAUAUAACACAUAGUACUAUAUGUAGUAUUGUUAUAGAGUAUAUGAUAUACUAUUAUGUGAUAUUCUCUACAGUGUACGAUAUAUUCUAUAUGGGUUUUUUGGUUUGUUUGUUUUGGGGUUUUUUUGGUACCAGGUAUCGAACUCAGGUCCUUGAGCUUGUAAAGCAGAAGGUGAAACCAUUGAGCUAAAUUCCCACCCCUGGUUGUUGUAUUUUGAGGCAGGGUCUCACUUAUGUAGUUCAGGCUGGCCUUGAACUCACUAGGUAGCCCAGGCCAGUCUCAAACUCACAGAGAUCCUCCUGCCUCAGCUGCCCAAGUACUUGGACUACAGGGAUGCACCAUCACACUCGGCUUCUAUAUGUUUAUUUUUUGUUGUUGUUGAGACAAGCUCUUGCUUUUUAGUGCAAGCUGGUCUUGAACUCACAGCAAUUUUCCUGCCUCAGUUUCCCAAGUGCUGGGAUUACAGGCAUGAAGCACCACACCUGGCUAUAUGUUCUUAUAAUAUUCUGUCUACAGUAUUAUAUACACUAUUUUUGUAUAGUAUGCUAUGUACUAUUACAUGGUAUUCUCUCUCUGCAAAAUAUAUUACAUAUGUUCUAUACUGUAUAACACAUUUUACAUAUAGUCUUUUAUGUGCAAUGUUAUUCAUUUGCUAUAGUUUGCAUCUGGAAUGUCCCCCUGGGGCCCAUGUGUUGAAAGCUUGCUCCCCAGCUCCUGGUAUUGCCGGGAGAGGGUGAGACCUGUAGGGGGCAGGGCCACAAGAGGCUACUGAGAUCUUGGUGCCUCCUCCUCCCUCUCUGCUUCCAGAUUGUCAGUCCCCAGCAUGGCGUGCUCCCUCCCACCAGGCCCAGAAUCAACCUGGCUAAGUGACUGCCCUGGAACCUCUGAAACUAUGAGCUCUAAUCAACCUCUCCUCCUUGCGAUCUGUGCAUCUAGGACAAUGGGAAAUAGGGAGGUAGAGCUUUUGCAGAUGGGAAGGGGACCUAGGGAUGGAGGGAAAGGGGAAGGAGGGGAAGGAAGAGGAAGGGAAAAUAAAAAGAACUAAGAUGCCAUAUGUAUGGGCACUCGCUCCCAUGAUGAAUAUAUUCAGCACAUAUCAUAAACAUGUAC